ACGAACGCUGGCGGCGUGCUUAACACAUGCAAGUCGAACGAUGAACCAUUUCGGUGGGGAUUAGUGGCGAACGGGUGAGUAACACGUGGGCAAUCUGCCCUGCACUCUGGGACAAGCCCUGGAAACGGGGUCUAAUACCGGAUAAUACUCCUGCACUCAUGUGUGGGGGUUAAAAGCUCCGGCGGUGCAGGAUGAGCCCGCGGCCUAUCAGCUUGUUGGUGAGGUAAUGGCUCACCAAGGCGACGACGGGUAGCCG
rnacentral:rRNA from 1 species